AUCUUGACCGUGGUAAUGUAGCAUAAUCACUCGCCACUUAAUUGGUGGAUAGUAUGAAUGGUUGAACGAAUAUAACACUGUCUCAGGUAGAGGUUUUAUAAAAUUGGAUUAAUAGUAAAGAUACUAUUUUAAAUUAUAAGACGAAAAGACCCUAUAGAGCUUAACUAUAAUCUUUUUUUAACUAUAUAAAUUUAUUUAUAAAAAUAAAAAGAUGGGUAGUUUAGUUGGGGCGACUAUCUUCUAAAUAUAACGAAGAUAAACAAUAUUAAUAAAAUAAUUUAUUGUAUAAUAAAUGAAUUUAACAAUUACUAAAGUAGGUAAUAAUGACCCGUUCCCAUUUCAGAAAAAAGGGAACGAUCAAUUGAUAAAAGCUACCUUAGGGAUAACAGGAUAAUUUUAUCUUAGAGAUCUUAUCGAAGAUAAAGUUUGUCACCUCUAUGUUGAAUUAAG
rnacentral:rRNA from 1 species